AAUAACUGUAGCCACAUAAUGAAAAUGGAAGUGCACCAUGAUGUGAAAAUCAAUUGAGGAGGCUUGGAAUAUUGCUACUGAAACAUCUACACCUUGACAUUUUUUGAGGCAUCACUGAUCACUCGUCCUCUGUCUUUAGAACACAGCAGAUGGCUUCUCAUGGCUGGGCAUCCUGAUGCCACAGCAUUUCACCAUGGUAGUUGUGAUGUCAACUGUAAUGGAAAAUGUUAAGGAAGGUGUUACAACAUCCUCAUUUCCUUGGGCACCAGCCCUGCAGUUAUCUCCUUGGAAAACGUCAAAUUUGUCCUGGAAUGAGGAGCACAUCUGGAGAAGGAAUUGAGAGGAGGGAUAUGAUUAAAUGGUGAGCAUUUCUAAGUAAAUGUAUAUUUUUGGUCCGAUUCAGCAGCACUGUGGAUGGGGAGCUGAGAGGGGUAAUGGACAACAGGCAGAACACGUGCAGUAACCUUAAACCUUCCAUGCAGAUACACCUGUUCCCAGCUAUAGCUGUGAAAUAGAAGGAAGCAGUAAAAACCCUUCCUGAAAGGAUUCUUGUAAACAGAUUGUUCUUCAGCCCUUUGGCAUGUAUCAAAGUACAAAAUCCUUGGAGGAAACAAACAUGUUUGAGUGAUGGCUGAUGUGAAUAUGCCUGCUGAAUUGCACAAUUGUUAGCUGGGGCAUGCAAGUGGUUUUGGAUUUUCACACUUCCUGGUUUGCCGCGUCAUCAUUCUGGUCAGGAUCCAAAGCUCAUGGAAAUCAGCAACAAGAUUUUGCUGGUAGGAGGUAGGUGAUUGAGCAAAAGAACAUGACCAAAUGUCCAAAAUUCCUGUUCUUCUCAUUAUCA
rnacentral:lncRNA from 1 species